CAUCACCAAAGGCAGUCACAGUCAAGACAGCUCUCCUCCAUCCCUGCCAGGAUGGCAUGCAGGCAGGGCAGCAUCAUUGCUGUCUUUACUCUCAGCACUGCUUAGGGUGUGAUGAGACAGACAGGCAGCCCCUCAGGGAAAAGGAAGUUUCUGAAGCUCCUGCUACUCUGUCAAUUGUACACAAGGACAAAGAAACAGUAUGGCAGCUGACCUAUGCCUCAUCACCUGCACACAGAACCUCAAAGUUGAGCAACAGAUGGCCAGUAGCUCUCAGUCAACAGGAUUCAGAGGCAAGAGAGCAGGUAGCAAGAAGAAUUUUUU
rnacentral:lncRNA from 1 species